GUUAGAUUUAAAGUUAGGUUUCAAUCUAGUGUUAAAGCUAGGGCUAAGGAUAGGGCAAUUGUGAUGAAAACGGUUAGGGUUAGAGUUAGGGUUAUGUUUAGGGUAAGGGAUGUGGUUUGGGCUAGGUUUAGGGCUAAGGCAAGUGUUAGUAUUAGGGUUAGGGCUUAAUUAGGGUUAGGGUUAUGAUUAAGGCUAGAUUUAUGGCUAGGAUGAGGUUUAGGGUUUGUGUUAGGAUUGGGGAUAGUAUUAGGGCUAGGGCUAAUGUAAGUUCUAGGGUUAUAGUUAGGGCUGGAUUUAGUGUUAGGUUUAUGGCUUGUUCCAGUGUAAGGAUUACAUAUAGGGUAAGAUUUAGGUUUAUAUCUAGGGUUAUUUUUAGGGUCAGGGUCAGAGUCAGGUUUAGGGUUUGGGUUAGGUUAGGAUUUAGGUUUAGGGUAAUGACAGGGUUAGUAUUAGGGUUUAGGUUUGGUUUAGUGUAAUGAAUAGGGUUAGGGUUAGGCCUAGAGUUAGCUUAAAGUUUAGGGUUAUUGUUAGGGUAAUGGAUAGGUUUAGACCUAAGGUUAGGGCUAGGGUUAUGUAUAGGAUUAGGGCUAGUUUCGUGUUAGGGUUAUGUUUAAAUUUAGGGUUAAAGUUAGAUUUAGGACUCGGAUUAAGGCUAGGUUUUGGGUUAGGUAGGGCUAGGGUUAAGGCUACCACUAAUGUAUGAAGUAGGGUUAUGAUUAGUGCUAGUUAUAGGGUUAGAGUUAGGGCUAGGUCUAGUGUUAGGUUGAGGUAUACGGUGAUGAUUAUUUUUAGAGCCAGGGUUAGUGUUAGGGUCAGAGUCAGGGUCACGGUUAGUUUUCGGGUUAGGGUUAGGACUAGAAUUAGGAUAUGGUUAGGGCUAGGUGUAGGGUUAGGGUUUGUUUUAGGUUAAGGGUUAGGAUUAUGGCUAUGACUCAGUUUUGUUUUAGGGAUAGAGCAAGGGUUAGAGCUAGUUUUAGGAUUAGCAUUAGCAUUAGGGCUAGUUCUAGGCUUAGGUUUAGGAUUAGGGUUAGGGUUAGAUUUAUAGUUAGGCUUAGAUCUAGGGUUAUGGCCAGGGCUAUGAAUCGGGCUAAGAUUACACCAAGGGUUAAAACUAAAAUUAGGGUUCUAGUAAGGGAUAGAGUUAGAACAAGGGUUAGGGUUAGGGUGAGAGUUACAGUUAGUCUUUGGGCUAGAGUUAGGGUUAGGAUUAGGGAUUGGGCUAAAUUAGGGCUAAGAUUAGGGCUAGGGUUAGUGUUAGGGUUAGGCCUAGGAUUUGGGUUAGGAAUAAAAUUAAGGCUAUGUUUAGGGCUAGGAUAAGGGCUAGGAUUUGUGUUAGGGUUAGGGCUAGGAUUAAGGCUAGGGUUAAUAUCAGGUCUAGGGUUAAGGUUAGGAAUAGUUUUAGGUUAGGUUUAUUACUGGGUCUAGUGUAAGUGUAAGGCAGGGUAAGACUCGGGUUUAUAGCUAAGGGAAUUAUUAGAGUCAUGGUCAGUUUAGAGUUUGGUUUAGGUUUGAGGUUAGGUAGAGCUCGAAUUAGCAUUAGGGUUAGGGUUAGCAUAAUGAUUGGGUUAGGUUUAGGGUUCAGGGUAGGUUUAGGGUAAUUGACAGGUUUGGAGAAAGUGAUAGGUUUAGGGUUAAGCCUAGGGUUAGCAUUAUGGUAAGGGUUAUUUUUAGGGUAAUGGAUACAGGUAGAGUUAAGGUUAUGGCUAGGGUUAUGGUUAGGAUUAGGUCU
rnacentral:lncRNA from 1 species